UCCAGGAGAAAAUUGCCAGGGCCGAAUUUUGUUCCCAGUCCGACCCUGCUCAAGCAUGAAUGAGUUUGUAAGUUAGGCUACGAUGUACAUAGACGGAAUAUGAUUAUUCUAAAGUUUCACUUGUAAGUAGCCUUCAGUUUAACAUAUUUAUCUAACACUGUAUAUCUUUCUUCUAUUUCUGUUAGGUGCCGCUUCACUCAACUGGAUGGUCAGGCUGACUGCAACCGUAGGCCUACUGAAUAGAUGGCAGGGAAGAUGCCCGAUGCCGAAGCACCACUAUUGAAAAAGCUGUUGGUAGCAUCGGCUAACUAGCGCCAGAUUUUGGAGUGCAGGGGACAAGCCCAGAUGGGCUAUGAGACAUACGUUCACACUCGGUGCCGCUUCACUCAACUGGAUGGUCAGGCUGACUGCAACCGUAGGCCUACUGAAUAGAUGGCAGGGAAGCACAGCACACGGGAAUUUAUAAAUGAAGAAGAGUGAAUAAAUGCACUUGCUUUUCAAACUGAUAA